GUAAUUCCUUACUGGUUAAAGAGUUUCGGAUUUAAGUAUGAUGUUGUGUUUGCAUAUUGUUCGGCAAGAUUGCCCGAACAGAGUAACUGAUUAAGUUACUCAUUUCACUUCCUGUAUAUUUUUUAAACCUAAUUAGGUUACACACCGUUUCUUUGAAGCGGUGUUUUUUUA
rnacentral:other from 1 species